GAAUCAUUCCAGAGCAGGAUACGAUACUGCUCCCAGUCUCCAGCAGGGGGCGACCAGCUUACUACCAGGGACUUCGUAGAACCACUGCUGUUUGCCUCCAGGUCCCCAACUUUCUGUGGAACUAAACAGUGAAAUGAUGUCACAAGGAGAUACGAAAAUCCAAAGCAGUCUACAAUUUAAGACGCCACAAUAAAAGGAAAGAAUACAACUUCCCGUCACAAAAAGUUUUCUUGUUAUCAUGAGAUUCUCAUAGCCUGAGAAACUCAAGAGCAACCUUGUUAGCCAACUGAGGUGAUGCGUUUUUGCUGAAGAGGCAUUUUAAGGACAAGAACGAGAGAAAGAGAUGCUUUCCAGUGAUUGUCCAAAUGGGAUCAAUACUGUCACCUACAUGCACAGCCCAGCCAGACAGACCUGGAAUGUGGAGUGCCAAAUGCAAAAUUCUGCAGUAUUCAGCUGCUCAGCUUCACUGAAUUUCAUUAUCAGGAAGCCCUAGAAUUUCAUAAGUGGGUUUGCUGUCGAUCUGUUUUUUCUGAUAAAGUUUAGUCAA